AUUGAACGCUGGCGGCAUGCCUUACACAUGCAAGUCGAACGGUAACGGGCCUUCGGGUGCCGACGAGUGGCGAACGGGUGAGUAAUGUAUCGGAACGUACCUUUCAGUGGGGGAUAACGUAGCGAAAGUUACGCUAAUACCGCAUAUUCUGUGCGCAGGAAAGCAGGGGAUCGCAAGACCUUGCGCUGAUUGAGCGGCCGAUAUCAGAUUAGCUAGUUGGUGAGGUAAAGGCUCACCAAGGCGACGAUCUGUAGCGGGUCUGAGAGGAUGAUCCGCCACACUGGAACUGAGCCACGGUCCAGACUCCUAGGGGAGGCAGCAGUGGGGAAUUUUGGACAAUGGGCGAAAGCCUGAUGCAGCAACGCCGCGUGAGUGAUGAAGGUCUUCGGAUCGUAAAGCUCUUUCGGCCGGGACGAAAACGGCAUGGCUAACAUCCAUGUCCUUGACGGUACCGGAAGAAGAAGCACCGGCUAACUCUGUGCCAGCAGCCGCCGUAAGAC
rnacentral:rRNA from 1 species